AAUAUACUCCCUCCGUCCGAAAAUACUUGUCCUUAAAAUGGUUGUAUCUAGACUUAUUUUAGUUAUAGAUACAUCCAUUUUAUCCAUUUCUAGGACAAGUGUUUCUGGACGGAGGGAGUAUGAG
rfam:Triticum aestivum genome assembly, contig: Triticum_aestivum_CS42_TGACv1_scaffold_376110_5AL